GACGAACGCUGGCGGCGUGCUUAACACAUGCAAGUCGAACGAUGAAGCUGGAGCUUGCUCCGGUGGAUUAGUGGCGAACGGGUGAGUAACACGUGAGAAAUCUGCCCUUGACUCUGGGAUAACUGCGGGAAACUGUAGCUAAUACCGGAUAUUUUCCUUGGUGGGCAUCCACUGGGGAAGAAAGAAUUUCGGUCAAGGAUGAUCUCGCGGCCUAUCAGCUAGUUGGUGAGGUAAUGGCUCACCAAGGCGACGACGGGUAGCCGGCCUGAGAGGGUGACCGGCCACACUGGGACUGAGACACGGACCAGACUCCUACGGGAGGCAGCAGUGGGGAAUAUUGCACAAUGGGCGCAAGCCUGAUGCAGCAACGCCGCGUGAGGGAUGAAGGCCUUCGGGUUGUAAACCUCUUUUAGCAGGGAAGAAGCGAAAGUGACGGUACCUGCAGAAAAAGCACCGGCUAACUACGUGCCAGCAGCCGCAGUAA
rnacentral:rRNA from 1 species